rnacentral:rRNA from 1 species
AUGGAGUCCGUGCGACUUCUCCUUGCGCUGGCUGCCCAGGAGGGCUGGCGUGUCCACCACAUGGACGUUAAGUCGGCAUUCCUCAACGGCGACCUGAAGGAGGAAGUCUACGUGCAUCAGCCACCUGGGUUUACGAUUCCCGGCCAGGAGGGCAAGGUGCUCCGCCUGCGCAAGGCUCUCUAUGGCCUGCGGCAGGCACCCAGGGCGUGGAACGCCAAGCUGGACUCCACGCUGAAGAAGAUGGGUUUCGAGCAGAGCCCGCAUGAGGCUGCCGUCUACCGACGGGGGAGUGGAGGAAAUGCCCUGCUGGUGGGCGUCUACGUUGACGACCUGGUGAUCACCGGCACCAAAGGUGCAGAGGUGACGGCGUUCAAGGAAGACAUGAAGGCCACGUUCUAG